CUAUCUUGAAGCGGAACACCACCACUCUGAUCAGAGUGUUGCCAUCUGUUCCCAGGCCCACAGCCAGCAAAGCAUCUUCCAGGUCUCCUGACACCUCGGAUUUAAUGCUGUCUGUUAUGUCCUCCUUAGCAAUGCCUCCAUAUACAUCAAAAACUGCGGGCAGCCAACAGCUCGCCGCUCUCCAGGAAGGCCCGCAUGGAGCGGGGCAGGGCGGGCUCGGCCUCGCUGAGGUCCACCACGUCCCCGCCCUCCUUCUCCUCUCCUUCUUUCUCCUUCUCCUUCUUCUCCUUCCCCUCCUCCUCCUCCUUCUCCUCCUCCCCCUCCUCCUCCAGCCCCAGCCGGGGCCCGGCCGCCCCGGGGCCGUGGAAGCGAAGCAGGCGCAUGGCGGCGGGCAGCGCCGGGGACAGCCGGGCCGGGGCCAUCCAGGAUGUGCGCGGUGAUGACGCAACGACGGUGCGACGACGGAGGGAAAGGCCCCCGCGCGGAGUGCCUGCCCCCCUCGGCGGACCGACCAAUGGGAGCGCGGAGCAGGAGGGGCGGCCGCGGACCCGGAGCCGCCAUGAUAGCGCCGGCGCGAUGGUGGAGCUGCGGGGUUCCGUGCGGGGAAAGCGGUGCUCCGCUGCCCCACGUCCCCGCCGCCGCCUGCCCCGUGCCUCGGGGGUGCCGGGCGGUCAGGGGAAGGCGGCGCAGGGGCACCGCCGUCGGCCCCGUCCGUCCCCCAUCAGAAUCCAGUCGGUCCUCCGGAGAGGGAACUGAGCCGUCCUCCGUCAUUGCAGUCGGGUACUGCUGGGCUGUGAGAAGCGGCGGCUGACCACAAGCAGCGGGACCCGCCCGGCCUCUGGGAGCAGCUCCUGGCUGAGCCGAGCAGCCCCGAAAGAGAGGGACUGAUCCCGCGGGUCGAGACGUGUUCAAGCCUGGCAGAGAGUCAGGCGGGCGCCUUCGGUUCUUGCUUGGCUCAAAUCAGCAGCAGCGCGUGCUGAGCUCCUGCCCCGCAGGUGGAGUCCCCAACUCCCGUUUUCCUUAUCCCGGUCUGUCCCCGUGCGGAGCUCCCGGAGCCGCGUGAAGCCGACACGGAGCCGCUUCGUGUUGGCCCCGAGGAGGGGAGCUGUGAGGGGGGAACGAUUGUUAGGAUGGAAACUGGUUGGGAAUAUGGACAUUUCUCUGCUUAUUGCUCUUUAUGUGAAAUGAUUAAAUGCUGAACAUUCGUUUUUCUACAUUUCUGCCUGCAGUUGUUUCUGCAGCUCCAAAGACCCUCCCGCUCCCCCCCCUCCCCCCCCCCCAUCCCCGUGCCCACCUCUGGGUAAGGACGGGGCAGCACCAAUGGCAGCGUCAUAGGACUGCAACCACCAGCCCCAUCCUUCCCCCCCACAUCCCCUCCCCUCCUCAGCGCUGCGUGGGAAAUGGUUGGGGUGGGAUUCUGGGAGAGCUGGGGCGGCUUGGCCUGCAGAAGAGGAGGCUCAGGGGAUCCCAGGCACGGCCAUCAGCCCCUGCAGGGAGGUGCAGAGAGGACGGAGCCGGGCUGCACCCAGCGGUGCCCAGCAGCAGGACCAGAGGCACUGGGCACACACUGCAGCACAGCAGGUUUCCCUGUAUGACACCUCUGAGCCCCCACAUUGGGUCAGUGUCAUUGGCUAUUUUUGCCAAUGGUCACGAUGCAGGAGUUGAGUGCAUCCUUGUGAAAUCCACCGGGCAUCCUAAGGCACGAGGUGCUGCUGGCACUCCUGAGGUUUUUAAGGGGCAGCAGGGAGAACCGGAGGGCUCAGGGCAGUAGCUGGGGGCUCUUGGAGGCACUUUGAGGUGCUGCGGGUUCAGAAUUGUGUUUUUCCUCCCGUUUCACACAGAAGGUGGCGGUUUGGCUCAGUACCUCGAGGUGGCAGCAGGACCCCCAACAACAGAAACGUCUGCUGCCCAGAGCCCCAUGUAUAGCUGUGAGAAUGAUGGAGGGUGUACUAAACGUAGCACAUGCACAGGGCUUAUGAUUCCCGUGACACAGGGAUGACAUAUUCGUAUAGCCUUUCUAUUAUGGUGCCAGAUAGUAUUUCAGCGUUAGAGAGAGAUGAAUCAUCGGAGAGUAUUCCAUCGUAGUUUAAGCCUAAGAGGGCACCAUCCUAUAACAAAAUACAGAGUGAGCCUUAAAUGUUGUCAUUCAAUUUAGAUCCCUAAAGCAAAGCAAAGCAAAACAAACACGCAAACACAGCAGCUCCUCUCCUCCCCCUAAAAUAAUGGGUGAAAGUCUCCCACCUGCCGCCUUUCACAAAUUGCAUGGCCGUUUUAUGGAAAACAGUCGGUUACAUUGCAAACUAAACUGAACUCCUAUUUUCUAUAAUUAUGAGACGUACUGUGAGUCCAGAAGGAAAAUCCCUACUGCAGAGACGCACAAAAGCACGGAGCAUUUGUGCUGCUCUUCUCAAGAGGAGCAUUUCCAAAAGAGGGCACCAGGUACAUGCUUUUAAACUGCAUUCCUACUGCUUUCUUGAGCCUAUUUCCCCCUCCUUUCCCCACGACUUCCUCCACAAUAGGUACGGACCACCCUAAAUGGAAAGUACUCACAUUUUGGCUGUUGUAUGUUGUGCUUUUCGACACCAAAACCUGCCUUUCCUUUGUGCUGGAAUAAUCUCCUUUUUAUUACAAUUGGCUGUGUGACAGGGAGUCAUUGCUAUUUCACCGUGUUACUGCAUUCACACCCACAGCUGAGCAGCAUAGAUAUGGCUUUACUGUUGGGUUCCUGACUGCUCAGCCAGUUUUGUUC
rnacentral:lncRNA from 1 species